GGCGGUGAUUUAGCUUAAAUCNGAGGAACUUGUUUUAUAAUCGAAUAACCCCCGCUUUAACUAAACUURAAUNGGUCGUCAGCCUUGUAUNCCCGCCCGUCGAUAAGGAGAUUUUUUNAAAAUAUCUUCGAGAAUUUUGAAAUAUAUGUCAGGUCAAGGUGCNGCCUAUGUUUUAGUAAAAAUGAGUUACAAUAGUUGAAAUUACACGAAUGACCGAUUGUAAUAUGGGAUGAAGGUGGAUU
rnacentral:rRNA from 1 species